UACGGGGGGAGCAAGCGUUGUUCGGAUUUACUGGGCGUAAAGGGCGCGUAGGCGGCCACCGCAAGUCGAUUGUGAAAUCUCCGGGCUUAACCCGGAAAGGUCAACCGAUACUGCGGGGCUAGAGUGCAGAAGGGGCAACUGGAAUUCUCGGUGUAGCGGUGAAAUGCGCAGAUAUCAGGAGGAACACCAAUGGCGAAGGCAGCUCGCUGGGACGUGACUGACGCUGAGACGCGAAAGCGUGGGGAGCAAACAGG
rnacentral:rRNA from 1 species